UACGUAGGGUGCAAGCGUUGUCCGGAAUUAUUGGGCGUAAAGAGCUCGUAGGCGGUCUGUCGCGUCGGAUGUGAAAAUCCAGGGCUCAACCCUGGACCUGCAUUCGAUACGGGCAGACUAGAGUUCGGCAGGGGAGACUGGAAUUCCUGGUGUAGCGGUGAAAUGCGCAGAUAUCAGGAGGAACACCGGUGGCGAAGGCGGGUCUCUGGACAGUUCCUGACGCUGAGGCGCGAAGGCCAGGGGAGCAAACGGG
rnacentral:rRNA from 1 species